rnacentral:tRNA from 1 species
GCCUCCGUAGCUCAGUGGAUGAGAGCAGUGGGUUUCUACCCCAUUGGUCGCGGGUUCGAAUCCUGCCGGGGGCGC